UACAGAGGCCUCGAGCGUUAGGCGGAACCACUGGGCUUAAAGCGUGUGUAGGCGGACUUCUAAGUACCUUGUGAAAUCCCACGGCUUACCCGUGGAACGGCUGGGUAUACUGGUUGUCUUGAGCCACCUAGGGGCUACCGGAACAAAUGGUGGAGCGGUGAAAUGCGUAGAUAUCAUUUGGAACGCCAAUGGUGAAAACAGGUAGCUGGGGGUGUGCUGACGCUGAGACACGAAAGCCAGGGGAGCGAACGGG
rnacentral:rRNA from 1 species